CAAACCCUGGGGAGUUCGUGAUUGCUCUUGAGUUUUUGAGCCAAUAUGCAUCAAAAGGGAUCCGCCAGAGUGCGCCCGUGUGCAUGCCCGCCUCGAUGCGGGGAGCCUGACGGCCAGCCGGUGGAGCCCACCUCGGCAAGCGAGGUUCAUAACUCCAAGAACGACACGGCACCCCGGGGCUAUA
rnacentral:other from 1 species